AUUGAACGCUGGCGGCAGGCCUAACACAUGCAAGUCGAACGGCAGCACAGAAGAGCUUGCUCUUUGGGUGGCGAGUGGCGGACGGGUGAGUAACACGUAGGAAUCUACCCAGUAGUGGGGGAUAACCUGGGGAAACCCAGGCUAAUACCGCAUACGCCCUGAGGGGGAAAGCGGGGGAUCUUCGGACCUCGCGCUAUUGGAUGAGCCUGCGUCGGAUUAGCUAGUUGGUGGGGUAAGGGCCCACCAAGGCGACGAUCCGUAGCUGGUCUGAGAGGAUGACCAGUCACACCGGAACUGAGACACGGUCCGGACUCCUACGGGAGGCAGCAGUGGGGAAUAUUGGACAAUGGGCGGCAAGCCUGAUCCAGCCAUGCCGCGUGGGUGAAGAAGGCCUCGGUU
rnacentral:rRNA from 1 species